ACACAUGCAAGUCGAGGGGCAGCAUGGUCUUAGCUUGCUAAGGCCGAUGGCGACCGGCGCACGGGUGAGUAACGCGUAUCCAACCUGCCUUACACUCUUGGACAGCCUUCUGAAAGGGAGAUUAAUACAAGAUGUUAUCAUGAGUAAGCAUUUUCGCAUGAUUAAAGGUUUACCGGUGUAAGAUGGGGAUGCGUUCCAUUAGAUAGUAGGCGGGGUAACGGCCCACCUAGUCUUCGAUGGAUAGGGGUUCUGAGAGGAAGGUCCCCCACAUUGGAACUGAGACACGGUCCAAACUCCUACGGGAGGCAGCAGUGAGGAAUAUUGGUCAAUGGACGAGAGUCUGAACCAGCCAAGUAGCGUGAAGGAUGAAGGUUCUAUGGAUUGUAAACUUCUUUUAUACGGGAAUAAACGGAUCCACGUGUGGAUUUUUGCAUGUACCGUAUGAAUAAGGAUCGGCUAACUCCGUGCCAGCAGCCGCGGUAAUACGGAGGAUCCGAGCGUUAUCCGGAUUUAUUGGGUUUAAAGGGAGCGUAGAUGGGUUGUUAAGUCAGUUGUGAAAGUUUGCGGCUCAACCGUAAAAUUGCAAUUGAUACUGGCAGUCUUGAGUACAGUUGAGGUAGGCGGAAUUCGUGGUGUAGCGGUGAAAUGCUUAGAUAUCACGAAGAACUCCGAUUGCGAAGGCAGCUUACUAACCUGUAACUGACAUUGAUGCUCGAAAGUGUGGGUAUCAAACAGGAUUAGAUACCCUGGUAGUCCACACGGUAAACGAUGAAUACUCGCUGUAGGCGAUAUACGGUCUGCGGCCAAGCGAAAGCAUUAAGUAUUCCACCUGGGG
rnacentral:rRNA from 1 species